UACGAAGGGGGCUAGCGUUGCUCGGAAUUACUGGGCGUAAAGCGUGCGCAGGCGGUUUUGUAAGUUUGUCGUGAAAGCCCCGGGCUCAACCUGGGAAUUGCGAUGAAGACUGCAAGGCUUGAAUCUGGCAGAGGGGGGCGGAAUUCCUGGUGUAGCGGUGAAAUGCGUAGAGAUCAGAAGGAACACCAGUGGCGAAGGCGGCCGGCUGGGGGUGACCUGACGCUGGAGGCGCGAAAGCGUGGGGAGCGAACCGG
rnacentral:rRNA from 1 species